ensembl:lncRNA
CGCAUGUAAGAAUUAAAGAUUUUAAAAUUUAAAAAAUAAAAAACUAAAAAAAAAAAAUUGGCCUAUUUAGUAGAUAAAACAUCUAUCCACAAAUAUUCAUAUUCUUACAAGGAAUUAGAGAUAAUCACAAGAGAAAAUAAACUGCAGAGAUAUUUCCCCCCUAAGAUCCAAGUAGAAGACUAUCGAAAUCUCUCCAGAAAAUGUGUUCCUCUUCCGUUAUCACUGACAUAUACUGAAACAUACCUUGUUCUGGGAGACAGACAUAUUUGACAGUUUAUAGAGAAAAACCACUACCACAAAUGCAAGAUCCUAUUCUUUUGAUCCUUCUUAUCUAAUUAUUUCUUACCUGUGUACUAAAAAACGGGGCUUCCCAGAUGGCCCAAGCCAUCAAGGUAAAGACUCCACCUGCAAUACAGAAGACUCAGGAGACAAGGUUCUAUACCUGGGUCAGGAAGAUCCCCUGGAGAAGGAAAUGGCAACCCAGUCCACUGGUUUUGCCUGGAGAAUUCCCAUGGACAGAAAAAUCUGGCAGGCUACAGUCUAUAGCGUCACAAAGAUUCGAAAAAGACUGAGCACGCUGGCACAUGCAAUUGACACAUAAUGGAAUUAGCAUAUACUUAAAUCAAAUAUCAAAAUCAGACCCAUGUCAAACAGUGAUAACCUUUUCUAGGUGAUUUAGUUUCUAUCUGGGAUUUCUGAGACCUGACCUCCAGCUCAUAUUAUGUAAGAACUAUCCUGCCUCAUCUUUCAAGAAUAACUUGGUUUUCUGCACAGCUUGUGAAGCCUGAAAACACCCUUGCAAAAAUCACUGGUUGGGUACCUGAUGUGAGACUCAAAAAUUGUCUAUAUCUCAAAUUAUAUGUCUACAUAUCAGACUUAAUUUUAUUAAUCAGCUUGUUAAUAGUGCCUAAUCUUUGUCAUGUAUCUUUAAGCACUUCUUAUAUGGCAUUUAUGGGUUUCCCAGGUAGCUCAACUGGUAAAGAAUCCACCUGCAGUGCAGGAGACCUCCAUUGGAUCCCUGAUUUGGGAAGAUACCCUGGAGGAGGGCAUGGCAACCCACUUCAGUAUUCUUGCCUGGAGAAUCCUCAUGGACAUAGGAGCCUGGUGGGCUACAGUCCAAGGGGUUCGAAAAAGUCAGACAUGACUCAGUGACUAAGCACAGCACAGCACAUAUGUCAUGUAUACCUCCUUUUAUACAUUAUUUCCCUGAUGUCUCAGUGGUAAAGAAUCCACCCACUAAUGCAGGAGAUCUGGGUUUGAUCCCUGGGUUGUAUUGAUUCCCUGGAGAAGGAAAUGGCAACCCACUCCAGUAAUCUUGUCCAAGAAAUGCCAUGGACAGAGGAGCCUGGCAGACUCCAUGUUCAUGGGGUCACAAAAGAGUCAGAAAUGACUUAGGGACUAAACAAUACAUUAUUGAAUUGCCUUGACUGAAAAAGGCAUUCUUUGAUCUUUUUUUUUUUUUUUUAAUGCUUAUUAUUAUGUGCCAUGUACUGGCUAGACAUUGAAGAUACAGAAAUAAAGAAGACAUUGUUCUUUCCUGUAUGUAUUAAUGAAUAACAUACUCUUAAAGCCUUUUUUUUUGAUUCCUUAAUUGUUUGGGUGUAAAUAACAUGUGUUCAGACAUACUUGUGACUUUUAUAAAAAGAGGCCAUGUACCCUCUAGAAAUUGCCUGUUAACUUGGAUAUUUACAAUAGAAGGAUAUAAUUUGCAUAAUUAACCCAGGAACUGAGAUGAACUGUACUUCUUGCAAGGUUAUCAUUCCAUAAAUAGUUCAUUUUCUUACAGUUAAGUUAAUUCUAGAAGGUCAGAAGAGUGGUAAAAGAUAAAAUUAAUCCACAUUACUGAUAAAAUAAGGGCUUAAUUUGCUUAAUCAUAAGACACUGGGACACUUUACUGUUGUGAAUUCACACAAAAUUUUCAGAGGGCUGCUAUUGUCCACCUCAUGCUUAAGACUGCAGUAGAUUGAAGUCAAAUCAAAGAAUGUCUUAGAACCAAGCAUCUUUACACUGUAUUAGUUAAUUGAACUGAGUCAACUACUUUGCUGAUGGCACUGUUAUAUUACUCUUCAAAGUGAAAAGUAAACUCUCCAGAUGCUAAUUUCUAGGGAAAUUGUAAGUUUUAAGUAAAAUGGGUUUCCAAAAGUCAUUGUAUAAUAUUUAUUCACUGAGCACUUGUCUACUCAUCAUCUCAAUUAUAUGCUUUUUUGCCAUUUGCUUUUCUUGGAGCCAAAUUUUUUUUACUUUUUUUUACUGAAAUUUAGACCCUUUCCUAACGUUCUCUUCUUUAGAGAGAGGUGUUGCAGAUGACUUGUUAUCUUCUUAUUGUCAAGAAAAAGGCAACUAUUUAAUCAUUCUCAUUACUGUUGACAGAGGAGCCUGGAGGGCUACCAUCCAUGGGGUUCCAGAGAGUUGGAUUCAACUGGGUUACUAACACUUUCAUUUUCACUUUGCUGUUGACAGAACAGUUUGAGAGAAAGAUCAUUCCACUUCCUGUUCCAUCUGUCUGUACCGAACUCCAGCUGGAGAAAGGCUAAGGAGUGAUCUCUUGAAACUGGACUUGGGGCCCAAAGCAAGUAUGAGAUUGUACAAAGUGUUAGUAGCUCAGUGGUGUCUGACUCUUUGCUACCCCAUGGACUGUAGCCCUCCAGGCUCCUCUGUUCAUGGAAUUCUCCAGGUAAGAAUACUGGGGUGGGUUGCCAUAUCCUUUUACAGGGAAUUUUCUUGACCCGGGGAUUGAACCUGGGUUUCCUGCAUUGCAAGCAGAUUGUUUACCACUGUAUAGAUUCUAGUAAAGGCCUUUCCAGAAAAAGCAUUUCAAAAGCUUUUGAAUACAAAUAUGUAUAACUUGCAAGUUGUCUUCUCUUUUUGUGUGAAAUUCCAUCAAAUAUCUGCUCCAUCUACACAAAAUGCUAGUAUUUGACUGCACAUUACGCACCUACUCUCUCUCUCUCACACACACACACAUACAUACAGAAUCAGAUUUUUAGGAAAGUACUUCUCUACUCUUCAAUUUUUUCCUUACCAUUAGAAUAGAAUUAAGGAGUCUUUAGGCUUUGUGGAACCUGGUGAAGAUGAGACUUUAGACGGGUGUUAAGAUGGUUGGUUCUAGGCUAUGCACUGCUUUUUAUUAUGACUUUGGAGCAUCAUUUAAUCUUUCUGUGCUUCCAUUACCCUUUGGAAGUCUUGACAAGUAGCUUGCUAAUUAAUAAGAAAAAAAAAU